rnacentral:rRNA from 1 species
CCCAGACUCCUACGGGAGGCAGCAGUGGGGGAUAUUGCACAAUGGGGGAAACCCUGAUGCAGCGACGCCGCGUGUGGGAAGACGGUCCUCUGGAUUGUAAACCACUGUCCCCAGGGACGAAGAUGACGGUACCUGGGGAGGAAGCUCCGGCUAACUACGUGCCAGCAGCCGCGGUAAUACGUAGGGGGCAAGCGUUAUCCGGAUUUACUGGGUGUAAAGGGAGCGUAGACGGCAGUGCAAGUCUGGAGUGAAAGGCGGGGGCUCAACCCCCGGACUGCUCUGGAAACUGUACGGCUGGAGUGCAGGAGAGGUAAGUGGAAUUCCUAGUGUAGCGGUGAAAUGCGUAGAUAUUAGGAGGAACACCAGUGGCGAAGGCGACUUUCUGGACUGUACCUGACGCUGAGGCGCGAAAGCGUGGGUAGCGAACGGGAUUAGAUACCCCAGUAC